UGGCUCAUUAAAUCAGCUAUGGUUCCUUAGAUCGUACCUACUACAUGGAUAACUGUAGUAAUUCUAGAGCUAAUACAUGCCACUAUGCCCUGACCCGCGAGGGGACGGGUGGAUUUAUUAGAACAGAACCAACCGGUUGUAGCUUCGGCUGCUUCCGUUGCACUCUGUGAUGACUCUGGAUAACUUCACUGAUCGCAGUCGGCCUUGUGUCGGCGACGGAUCUUUCAAAUGUCUGCCCUAUCAAUUUUCGAUGGUAGGUGACCUGCCUACCAUGGUGAUAACGGGUAACGGGGAAUCAGGGUUCGAUUCCGGAGAGGGAGCCUGAGAAACGGCUACCACUUCCAAGGAAGGCAGCAGGCACGCAAAUUACCCAAUCCCGGCACGGGGAGGUAGUGACGAAAAAUACGGAUACGGGACUCAUCAGAGGCUCCGUAAUUCGAAUGAGUACAAUUCAAAUCCUUUAACGAGGAUCCACUGGAGGGCAAGUCUGGUGCCAGCAGCCGCGGUAACUCCAGCUCCAGAAGCGUAUAUUAAAGUUGUUGCAGUUAAAAAGCUCGUAGUUGGAUCUGGGUCGCAUGGCUACAUGCCGUUGCUUGUAUUCCUGGCUUGGUUACGACUGGGUCGGGUUUGCGAGUCGGUGUCGUGGUUGUGCAGCCUUUCUGCCGUGUCUGUUUCGACAGGUGCUGACUGAAUCGGUGGGCUUGUCUCGCUGGUUUGUUGGCA
rnacentral:rRNA from 1 species